rnacentral:rRNA from 1 species
GACGAACGCUGGCGGCGUGCUUAACACAUGCAAGUCGAGCGGUAAGGCCCUUUCGGGGGUACACGAGCGGCGAACGGGUGAGUAACACGUGGGUGACCUGCCCUCAGCUCUGGGAUAAGCCCGGGAAACUGGGUCUAAUACUGGAUAUGACUCCAUGACGCAUGUUGUGGGGUGGAAAGCCUUGUGCGGCUGAGGAUGGGCCCGCGGCCUAUCAGCUUGUUGGUGGGGGAUGGCCUACCAAGGCGACGACGGGUAGCCGGCCUGAGAGGGCGACCGGCCACACUGGGACUGAGACACGGCCCAGACUCCUACGGGAGGCAGCAGUGGGGAAUCUUGCGCAAUGGGCGAAAGCCUGACGCAGCGACGCCGCGUGAGGAUGACGGCCUGGUGUAAC